rnacentral:lncRNA from 1 species
GGGCCUGAAAAGGAAAAUCGUUUGGGUAAACAGCCAAGCUUCCAGGCUUAACGCCCGGCUCCCGCCCCCGCCCCUCCGCCCCCUCCCGCCUCCCCCACUCCCCUUCAACCCCACCCGCCACCCACACUCCGCUCCGCAGCCGGGCCCCGAGCGAGCUCCGCGCGCCCGGGCGGGAGCCGAGGGCUCCCCGGGUUCAAAGGGCCGCAGCCCCGAGGGAAUGCCCUCCUCGCUGUGCCCCGGGGGGCAGAAGCGGACUGCAGGGCGGUGGGACCGGCCUGGGCCACGACAGAAAAAUAUCCAUAACUGGUUAGUCGAUUCAAAAUAAGAACGAUGGCAACAAUAAUGCAAUAAAAACCUAGACACAGCACUCACUGCGCAUCAGAGACCAUGCCACGUCCUGUGAUUUUCUGUGAUCCUUACAGCAGCUGGAGGGGAAGUAGGAUACUGGUCCCAUUUCCAUUUCACAGUCAAAAAAGGUGAGAUUUAGAGAGAAGAAGGGCUCAAGUCAUAGAGUGAGCAUGGGGUGGACCCAGAACUCAAGCUGGUUUCUGUUGUCUGAUCUGGAUACAGUGCCAUUAAUCAUGAUCCAGACUCACCGGACUAGACCUUAACGCAGAGAGGAUUUUAAGGGCACCUGGGUGGCUCAGUUGGUUAAGCUGCCAACUGGAUUUCAGCUCAGGUCAUGAUCUCAGGGUCCCGGGAUCAAGCCCCGAGUUGGGAUCGGCAU